rnacentral:tRNA from 1 species
GCCUGUGUGGUGUAGUGGUUUGAAUAAUGACUAGGACUCUGGAGAUUGGGGUUCGAUUCCCUGCUUGGCUA